UACGGAGGAUGCGAGCGUUAUCCGGAUUUAUUGGGUUUAAAGGGUGCGUAGGCGGACUGUCAAGUCAGCGGUAAAAUUGAGAGGCUCAACCUCUUCCCGCCGUUGAAACUGGUGGUCUUGAGUGGAUGAGAAGUACGCGGAAUGCGUGGUGUAGCGGUGAAAUGCAUAGAUAUCACGCAGAACUCCGAUUGCGAAGGCAGCGUACCGGCAUCCAACUGACGCUGAGGCACGAAAGCGUGGGGAUCAAACUGG
rnacentral:rRNA from 1 species